UACGUAGGGGGCAAGCGUUGUCCGGAUUUACUGGGCGUAAAGAGCGUGUAGGCGGCCACGCAGGUCCGUUGUGAAAACUGGAGGCUCAACCUCCAGCUGUCGACGGAAACCGUGUGGCUAGAGUCCGGAAGAGGAGAGUGGAAUUCCUGGUGUAGCGGUGAAAUGCGCAGAUAUCAGGAAGAACGCCAAUGGCGAAGGCAGCUCUCUGGGACGGUACUGACGCUGAGACGCGAAAGCGUGGGGAGCGAACAGG
rnacentral:rRNA from 1 species